GGAGAAUCCGAUUGUUUAAUUAAAACAAAGCAUUGUGAUGGUCCCUACGGAUGCUAACACAAUGCGAUUUCUGCCCAGUGCUCUGAAUGUCAAAGUGAAGAAAUUCAACCAAGUGCGGGUAAAUGGAGGGAGUAACUAUGCCUCUCUUAAGGUAGCCAAAUGCCUCGUCAUAUAAUUAGUGACACACAUGAAUGGAUUAAUGAUAUUCCCACUAUCCCUAUCUAGUAUCUAGCGAAACCACAACCAAGGGAAUGGGCUUGGAAAAAUUAGCAAGGAAAAAAGACAUGUUGAUCUUGACUCUAGUUCGACUUUGUGAAAUGACUUGAGAGGUGUAGAAUAAGUUGGAACCGUUUCGGUGGAAGUGAAAUACCACUACUUUUAAUGUUAUUUUACUUAUUUCGUGGGGUGGAGACGAGGCAUUGCCCUCGUUUUUGGCUUUAAGACACGUUUCAGUGGGUCAAUUUGGGUGGAAGACAUUCUUAGGUGGGGAGUUUGGCUGGGGUAGCACAUCUGUUAAAAAAUAACUCAGGUGUCCUAAUAUGAGCUCAAUGAGAAAAAAAAUAUCAUGUGGAGAAAAAGGGUAAAAGCUCAUUUGAUUUUGAUUUUGCAGUACGAAUACAAACCGUGAAAGUGUGGCCUAUUAUGAAAAUGAAGUUAUUUUGGCCUUAGAUGGUGGUGCAUGUUUUCCCAAUGCAUAGAUUCACUUGUAAUGCAUCUU
rnacentral:ncRNA from 1 species